CCAAAGGCUCUUUUCAGAGCCACCCACGCGUUCCACGAAAGAGCUA
rfam:Colinus virginianus strain Texas jcf7180006227028, whole genome shotgun sequence.